UGGGGGAUAACGCACCGAAAGGUGUGCUAGUACCGCAUAAUCUCUACGGAGAAAAGCAGGGGAUCGCAAGACCUUGCGCUCUUAGAGCGGCCGAUGUCUGAUUAGCUAGUUGGUGAGGUAAAGGCUUACCAAGGCGACGAUCAGUAGCUGGUCUGAGAGGACGACCAGCCACACUGGGWCUGAGACACGGCCCAGACUCCUACGGGAGGCAGCAGUGGGGAAUUUUGGACAAUGGGGGAAACCCUGAUCCAGCCAUGCCGCGUGAGUGAAGAAGGCCUUCGGGUUGUAAAGCUCUUUCAGCCGGAACGAAACGGUCACGGCUAAUACUCUGUGACUACUGACGGUACCGGAAGAAGAAGCACCGGCUAACUACGUGCCAGCAGCCGCGGUAAUACGUAGGGUGCAAGCGUUAAUCGGAAUUACUGGGCGUAAAGCGUGCGCAGGCSGUUUUGUAAGUCAGAUGUGAAAUUCCCCGGGCUUAACCUGGGAACUGCGUUUGAAACUACAAGGCUAGAGUGUAGCAGAGGGGGGUGGAAUUCCACGUUGUAGCAGUGAAAUGCGUAGAGAUGUGGAGGAACACCGAUGGCGAAGGGCAGCCCCCUGGGUUAACACUGACGCUCAGGCACGAAAGCGUGGGGAGCAAACAGGAUUAGAUACCCCUGGUAGUCCACGCCCUAAACGAUGUCAACUAGUUGUCGGGUCUUAACGGACUUGGUAACGCAGCUAACGCGUGAAGUUGACCGCCUGGGGAGUACGGUCGCAAGAUUAAAACUCAAAGGAAUUGACGGGGACCCGCACAAGCGGAGGAUUAUGUGGAUUAAUUCGAUGCAACGCGAAAAACCUUACCUACCCUUGACAUGUACCGAAGUCCGCUGAGAGGUGGGCGUGCCCGAAAGGGAGCGGUAACACAGGUGCUGCAUGGCUGUCGUCAGCUCGUGUCGUGAGAUGUUGGGUUAAGUCCCGCAACGAGCGCAACCCUUGUCAUUAAUUGCCAUCAUUCAGUUGGGCACUUUAAUGAGACUGCCGGUGACAAACCGGAGGAAGGUGGGGAUGACGUCAAGUCCUCAUGGCCCUUAUGGGUAGGGCUUCACACGUAAUACAAUGGCGCGUACAGAGGGUUGCCAACCCGCGAGGGGGAGCUAAUCUCAGAAAGCGCGUCGUAGUCCGGAUCGGAGUCU
rnacentral:rRNA from 1 species